AGCAAUUGAACAAUCGAUCUGUGUCUUAUGCAAAAGGCUUCCAGGAAACACGAUGCAACAGCAGAGGAAAAAGGCACAAACACACCCUCCCAGCUUCCCCCACCCCAUCCUGUCCCCAAGCACUUAAAUGCCACUGUCCCCCAGCAAGUCAUGCUUGCACCUCUCAGGAGAAGCAGCAGCAUGAAGACUGUGCCUGCCCUCCUGCUUGUGGGGAUGCUCAUCCUCUGGGCUGAGCUGCCAUCAGGCACUGCCUGGUCCUGCCCUGAGGUCCACAUCACCUGCGCCAUGCUCAACCCAAGGAACGACUGCUACGUGGACCAGCAUUGCCCGCGUGGCAAGAAGUGCUGCAAAACCUUCUGCGGGCGGCGAUGCAUCUCGCGCAUCCCUGUGUCCUACGUGUGAGCUGCUGCCUCCAGCACGGCCAGAGGGUGCCUGUGUCCCCGUGCCACCUCCAGCCCCAUGCACCUGCAGAAGGACCGCCAGCUCACAGGGGACAGGGACAGCUUCUUGCUCUCAUUCCAAGACCUCCUCUGCUGCUACGUGCUGUCUUCUAACCCUCUUCCAUCAUUCUCAGCUGCUGUUAAAACAAAUAAAAGCUUAUCCCAGGAGUACCGGUGUGCA
rnacentral:lncRNA from 1 species